rnacentral:rRNA from 1 species
GACGAACGCUGGCGGCGUGCUUAACACAUGCAAGUCGAACGGAAAGGCCCUGCUUGCAGGGUACUCGAGUGGCGAACGGGUGAGUAACACGUGGGUGAUCUGCCCUGCACUUCGGGAUAAGCCUGGGAAACUGGGUCUAAUACCGGAUAGGAGCCAUUUUUAGUGUGAUGGUUGGAAAGUUUUUUCGGUGUAGGAUGAGCUCGCGGCCUAUCAGCUUGUUGGUGGGGUAAUGGCCUACCAAGGCGGCGACGGGUAGCCGGCCUGAGGGGGUGGACGGCCACAUUGGGACUGAGAUACGGCCCAGACUCCUACGGGAGGCAGCAGUGGGGAAUAUUGCACAAUGGGCGCAAGCCUGAUGCAGCGACGCCGCUUGGGGGAUGACGGCCUUCGGGUUGUAAACUCCUUUCGCUAGGGACGAAGCUUUUUGUGACGGUACCUAGAUAAGAAGCACCGGCUAACUACGUG